ensembl:lncRNA
GGCCGGGAAAGGAGAUCCUCCACCCAGGGACCACCGACCACCCACUGGGAGGUAAGCCGGCUGGCGUCUGUCUGUCUGUCUGAUUUUGUCUCGUUCUGCCUUAUUCUGUCUUUUCUGUGAGCGCUCAGCCAGGUUGUUUGGAAUUUGGGCGGGACGAAGAAGGAGCUGACGAGCUCGGACUUCUUGCCCCGCAGCCCUGGAAGAUGUUCCAAGGGUGUUAGGGGCCCGACUUUUCGGGGCCCAAUCUGGGAGAGGAAAAAGAUCCGGACUAACGGCACCUCUGUCUGUAUUUUUGGCUUUCAGAGGGCCCCGGACCUUUGCCACCUCCAUCUGACUUUUUGCUUUCAGUUUGGUACCAAAGCCGUGCAGCACGCCUGUCUGUUGUUUGUUUGACUGUUGGUGUUGUUUGUUUUCUCUGUGUUCUAAUCUUCCUUAGAACUAACAUGGGACAGUCCCUAACAACGCCCCUAAGUCUCACUCUUGAUCAUUAGAAAGACGUCCACGACCGGACACACAACCAGUCCGUCGAGGUUAAAAAAAGGAAAAUGGCAGACUCUCUGCACAUCCGAGUGGCCCACUUUCGGAGCGGGAUGGCCAGUGAAUGGCACAUUUAAUAAGAUCAUUAUUUUACAGGUUAAAGAUCGGGUCGUCCACGGACAUCCUGACCAGGUUUCUUAUAUUAUCACUUGAGAGAGUCUCGCCUUAAACCCCCCCCCCGGGCGGAACCCUUCAUGGACCCGAAUUGGCCUCCCCUCAACCCCCAGCCUGUCCCCUCG